AGUGAACGCUGGCGGCAGGCCUAAUACAUGCAAGUCGAACGGCAGCACAGCAGAGCUUGCUCUGUGGGUGGCGAGUGGCGGACGGGUGAGGAAUACAUGGGAAUCUGCCCAGUCGUGGGGGAUAACGUAGGGAAACUUACGCUAAUACCGCAUGCGCCCUUCGGGGGAAAGCCGGGGACCUUCGGGCCUGGCGCGAUUGGAUGAGCCCAUGUCGGAUUAGCUAGUUGGCGGGGUAAAGGCCCACCAAGGCGACGAUCCGUAGCUGGUCUGAGAGGAUGAUCAGCCACACUGGAACUGAGACAACGGUCCAGACUCCUACGGGGAGGCAGCAGUAGGGAAUAUUGGACAAUGGGCGCAAGCCUGAUCCAGCCAUGCCGCGUGAGUGAAGAAGGCCCUCGGGUUGUAAAGCUCUUUUGUCCGGAAAGAAAAGCGCCGGGUUAAUACCCUGGUGUCCUGACGGUACCGGAAGAAUAAGCACCGGCUAACUUCGUGCCAGCAGCCG
rnacentral:rRNA from 1 species